rnacentral:rRNA from 1 species
AUUGAACGCUGGCGGCAGGCCUAACACAUGCAAGUCGAGCGGAUGAAGGGAGCUUGCUCCUGGAUUCAGCGGCGGACGGGUGAGUAAUGCCUAGGAAUCUGCCUGGUAGUGGGGGAUAACGUCCGGAAACGGGCGCUAAUACCGCAUACGUCCUGAGGGAGAAAGUGGGGGAUCUUCGGACCUCACGCUAUCAGAUGAGCCUAGGUCGGAUUAGCUAGUUGGUGGGGUAAAGGCCUACCAAGGCGACGAUCCGUAACUGGUCUGAGAGGAUGAUCAGUCACACUGGAACUGAGACACGGUCCAGACUCCUGCGGGAGGCAGCAGUGGGGAAUAUUGGACAAUGGGCGAAAGCCUGGUCCAGCCAUGCCGCGUGUGUGAAGAAGGUCUUCGGAUUGUAAAGCACUUUAAGUUGGGAGGAAGGGCAGUAAGUUGAUACCUUGCUGUUUUGACGUUACCAACAGAAUAAGCACCGGCUAACUUCGUG